UUUCCGUAGGUGAACCUGCGGAAGGAUCAUUAACAUAAACAUAUAUAGCAUGUGUUUACUCAUCUUUAUAUAUUCACCAAACCAUGUGCUCUUUAUUUUCACACCUAAAUCUUUUUGUUUGUUUAUUCAAGCAAAAAACAUGUUGUUUUUAUUAUAUUGUGCUUGUCCAUAUUACAGCAAUGUGGUAUGUGCGGCAUAUUUACGACAUUGUUCAUUCAAUGUUUGUAUAAAAUAUGUAAAUAUACAACUGUUAACAAUGGAUAUCUAGGUUCUCACAUCGAUGAAGAACGCAGC
rnacentral:misc_RNA from 1 species